AUUGAACGCUGGCGGCAUGCCUUACACAUGACAGUCGAACGGUAACGGGCCUUCGGGUGCCGACGAGUGGAGAACGGGUGAGUAAUACAUCGGAACGCGCCCGAUCGUGGGGGAUAACGAGGCGAAAGCUUUGCUAAUACCGCAUACGAUCUACGGAUGAAAGCAGGGGACGGCAAGGCUUUGCGCGGACGGAGCGGCCGAUGGCAGAUUAGGUAGUUGGUGGGAUAAAAGCUUACAAAGCCGACGAUCUGUAGCUGGUCUGAGAGGAUGAUCAGCCACACUGGAACUGAGACACGGCCCAGGCUCCUACGGGAGGCAGCAGUGGGGAAUGUUGGACAAUGGGCGCAAGCCUGAUCCAGCCAUGCCGCGUGCAAGAUGAAGGCCUUCGGGUUGUAAACUGCUUUUGUACGGAACGAAAAGCCUUCUUUUAAUACAGGGGGGUCAUGACGGUACCGGAAGAAUAAGCACCGGCUAACUACGUG
rnacentral:rRNA from 1 species